UAGGGAAUAUUAGUAAUGGGCGAAAGCCUGAACUAGCAACGCCGCGUGUGCGAAGAAGGCCUUCGGGUUGUAAAGCACUUUUUGAGAGGAUGAGGAAGGACGGUACUCUCAGAAUAAGUCUCGGCUAACUACGUGCCAGCAGCCGCGGUAACACGUAGGAGGCGAACGUUAUCCGGAUUUACUGGGCGUAAAGCGCGUGUAGGUGGUUUGGUAAGUAGGGCGUGAAAGCUCCUGGCUCAACUGGGAGAGGCCGUUCUAAACUGCCGAACUAGAGGAUGGUAGAGGGAGGUGGAAUUCCG
rnacentral:rRNA from 1 species